CCUACGGGAGGCAGCAGUGGGGAAUUUUGGACAAUGGGCGAAAGCCUGAUCCAGCAAUGCCGCGUGCAGGAUGAAGGCCUUCGGGUUGUAAACUGCUUUUGUACGGAACGAAAAAGCUCCUUCUAAUACAGGGGGCCCAUGACGGUACCGUAAGAAUAAGCACCGGCUAACUACGUGCCAGCACCGCGGUAA
rnacentral:rRNA from 1 species